GGUGCUUGCACCGAGCGGAGGAGUUGCGAACGGGUGAGUAACGCGUAGGUAACCUGCCUCUUAGCGGGGGAUAACUAUUGGAAACGAUAGCUAAUACCGCAUAAAAGUCGACAUUGCAUGAUGUUGACUUGAAAGGUGCAACUGCAUCACUAAGAGAUGGACCUGCGUUGUAUUAGCUAGUUGGUGAGGUAACGGCUCACCAAGGCGACGAUACAUAGCCGACCUGAGAGGGUGAUCGGCCACACUGGGACUGAGACACGGCCCAGACUCCUACGGGAGGCAGCAGUAGGGAAUCUUCGGCAAUGGACGGAAGUCUGACCGAGCAACGCCGCGUGAGUGAAGAAGGUUUUCGGAUCGUAAAGCUCUGUUGUAAGAGAAGAACGAGUGUGAGAGUGGAAAGUUCACACUGUGACGGUAACUUACCAGAAAGGGACGGCUAACUACGUGCCAGCAGCCGCGGUAAUACGUAGGUCCCGAGCGUUAUCCGGAUUUAUCGGGCGUAAAGCGAGCGCAGGCGGUUAGAUAAGUCUGAAGUUAAAGGCUGUGGCUUAACCAUAGUACGCUUUGGAAACUGUUUAACUUGAGUGCAGAAGGGGAGAGUGGAAUUCCAUGUGUAGCGGUGAAAUGCGUAGAUAUAUGGAGGAACACCGGUGGCGAAAGCGGCUC
rnacentral:rRNA from 1 species